CNNUCGGAUUUAUUGGGUUUAAGGGUCCGUAGGCGGACUGAUAAGUCAGUGGUGAAAUCCGACAGCUUAACUGUCGAACUGCCAUUGAUACUGUUAGUCUUGAGUAAGGUUGAAGUGGCUGGAAUAAGUAGUGUAGCGGUGAAAUGCAUAGAUAUUACUUAGAACACCAAUUGCGAAGGCAGGUCACUAAGUCUUAACUGACGCUGAUGGACGAAAGCGUGGGGAGCGAACAGGAUUAGAUACCCUGGUAGUCCACGCCGUAAACGAUGAUUACUCGUUUUUGGGUUUUAUGAUUCAGAGACUAAGCGAAAGUGAUAAGUAAUCCACCUGGGGAGUACGUUCGCAAGAAUGAAACUCAAAGGAAUUGACGGGGGCCCGCACAAGCGGUGGAGCAUGUGGUUUAAUUCGAUGAUACGCGAGGAACCUUACCAAGACUUAAAUGGGAAAUGACAGAUUUAGAAAUAGAUCCUUCUUCGGACAUUUUUCAAGGUGCUGCAUGGUUGUCGUCAGCUCGUGCCGUGAGGUGUUAGGUUAAGUCCUGCAACGAGCGCAACCCCUGUCACUAGUUGCUAACAUUAAGUUGAGGACUCUAGUGAGACUGCCUACGCAAGUAGAGAGGAAGGUGGGGAUGACGUCAAAUCAUCACGGCCCUUACGUCUUGGGCCACACACGUGCUACAAUGGCCGGUACAGAGGGCAGCUACCUAGUGAUAGGAUGCAAAUCUCGAAAGCCGGUCUCAGUUCGGAUUGGAGUCUGCAACUCGACUCUAUGAAGCUGGAAUCGCUAGUAAUCGCGCAUCAGCCAUGGCGCGGUGAAUACGUUCCCGGGCCCUUGUACACACCGCCCGUCAAGCCAUGGAAGCUGGGGGUACCUGAAGUCGGUGACCGUAAAAGAGCUGCCUAGGGUAAACUAGUACUAGGGCUAGUCGUAGAGGGAGGCCCCC
rnacentral:rRNA from 1 species